CGCAAUCUUGGCUCACUGCAACCUCUCAGGUUCAGGUGAUUCUCCUGCCUCAGCCUCCCAGGUAGCUGGGAUUACAGGCACACACCACCACACCCUGCUAAUUUUUGUAUUUUUAAUAGAGACAGGGUUUUACCAUGUUGGUCAGGCUGGUCUCGAACUCCUGGCCUCAUGUGAUCCACCCGCCUUGGCCUCCCAAAGUGUUGGAAUUAUAUGCAUGAGCCACCACACCCAGCAGUUUUAAAAUUUUAAUACAGUCAUCCGGUUACUGUACAUUUCCAUGAAAUACACUUCUAUAAAAUCCUUGGAAGCAAUUUCACCAAGAACUCGCUAUCACCUUGAUCAGUCCCUAUUUAUUUAAGUCUAUCAUUAUCUUAUCUUCUGGAACAUUCUGCAACAAGCUGGCUUGGCCUUCUUUCUUCCUUGAUAACUCAGCCUCUCUAGGUUAAAAAUCUCUUUACUUGAGCUUUGACUUCUCCCUCCUACUUUCAUUUAAGUUUCUCCUUUGUGCUUUAAUGUCUGUGUUCUUCAUGACAUGUGUGGAAAUAAUGAUUUGAUUCCUAAAGAUCAGUAGCCUUACUCUUCUCGAAGAGCUUUCUUUGCUGGUUUUCGUUUGUGUUUGUUUUGUUCUUAGCAUGUCUGACUACUUUCUGGCGUCUUAAAAAGAGAGCUGCGCUUUUCCCCUUCCUCGAGCCCCACUUUUGUUACAGUGUUAACAUCUUUCUAAUCUGAUGGGAGUUGCCUCAUCCUCCCGCGGCCCCUGCCAAAUACAUCAGCUUGAUUCUAUGACUAUCUAUUACUUGAUUAUAUUACUAUACACAGAUGUCUUGCUUUGACACAUCGCACACUCUCGUUUUCCUUGCCCAUAGUCCUCGCCGAUACUGGCUCAUUUUCCUUUCUUCAGCACAUUCCGGGGCGUGAUCACUUACAGUAAAAGCAGCGUUUAGAACUCCAGUCCUCUAAACCCACUUGAAAUAUUUGGAUUCACGGUCCUGUUGUGUUUGUUUCCCAAGCUAGAACAUUUUCUCCUAAGAUACGCCUGAGAUUCCUUCCUCAGGGCAUAGUUUAUACAUAUAGGACCCAGAGUUUUGCAACUCGGGGCAGCUGUUUUUCCCAGUGGCCGGCACCUUGAGCCCCAAACCUGAUUCAUUCUCCUGUCAUACAGUUUCCUUUCCACCUCCUAUGAAGAUGGCACCAGGGUCUUCUCUCCCCAAGCCUUCUCUCUGCAAAGGGAAGGCCGCUACUGCUCACACCUCGACUUCUCAGGGAGCCAAAGCUGCUCCGUGGAGCUCUCAGUGGAGACCCGCCACGCUUCCUGCUGGGACAUCUUACGGGGUGACAGAGCCCCCGCAAAUGCCGAUCUGCCACGCCCCAUUAGCAGAAAUACCUGUUCCAGCUUCUAAUCCCUCUUCUCCGAAGAACUGAGACCAGGCAGGAAGCUUUGGGGUCUGGGAAAGGACACGCGGGGUGGGAGACAGGCAUCCAGCUGGGAGUGGGCGUCAGGCCCCGCCCGCCCGUCUCUCACCAUCAGGGGUGUGAUUGGACCAACCCCGAGCCUCCGCCUCUUUCUUCCCGCAGGGUGAGAUCUCACACAGAACCUCCUCGGGCUCCACGCAGAGAGUGUCUGCGGCCUGGCAGGAAACACGGCCCGUGAACUCCUUGGCAGCGGAACUUUGCCGACACCACCCUGAGGUCCUCAGGCCAGGCGCUGCGCUGACACAAAGUGGCCUCAGUGCGCGCUAGUUUGAUGAAUGAUAGCGAAAGGAUGGCUGAAUGAAUGCAUGCACGAAUGAGUGGAAUACAAAGUUCUGCCAGCGUUUAAAGUCUUUUCCUGCCCCCCACCCCACCCCCCACCGCUGGUCCAUUCUGCAAAACAGAGUCCACCUUCUCUGCGGAUCCGAAAUGCACGUCAAAUCUUAUUUCCACAAAUGUGGCUGCCUUCGGGUCUGUGCCGGGACGCACCUCGGUGGAAUUCAUACUACGGUUCCCAUGGAGAGCUUCCUGCCCUGGAGCCUGCGACCCGCAGCCUCGGAGCCCCUGCUCCCCGCUCCCCUCCAAGAAGCCGUGUGUGACCUCUAGUCCUUUCUCUCCUUUCCUCUGCAGGAUUCUCCGCCCUAACCAUCGUUCCUUCAGGACUCCCUGGAGCCAGGAAUGGCAGGAGAAUCUGGGAAAAGCAAGCAGCUCCAGAGAAGCCCUUUCUCCUCCCCGUUCCUUUUGGUUUCCUCCCUUCUUGCUUCCAGUUCUCUAUCGUGUCUUCUUCCUUCCUCACCCACCAAGCUCCCCUCGCGCAGAUGCUCACCCGUGGCGUGUCCUCAGCCAAACCGGGCAGAAAAAGCUCAGAGCUUCGCACACCCCGUUUCCCUUAUUUCCUCCCUAAUGGCCUUCUUCACUGAGUUCUCUCGGGCCACGCACCCCUCACUCCCGCCCCUUCCUCGCCGUGGGCACCUGCCACCUUUCCGAGGGCGUCCCCGCGCGGAAGCAGCAAAUCCGGCCUUGCGCUGGCUGCAGUGCUCAGUCUCCGGCGAGGGCCUUUCCACCUCCUCCGUGCGCCUUUGGAGAUGAGGUCGGAAGCUGUCUGUUCUCCUCAUUUUACACAUGCAGAAAUGGAUACACAGAAACACCAAAAGGUGAUCCUACAAGUCAUGCGAGGAACACCCUCCCACUAGUGGGUGAAGGUCGAG
rnacentral:lncRNA from 1 species